rnacentral:lncRNA from 1 species
CCCCAAAAUAGCACCAUUUUCCCUCCAAAUGAGCUGAGAAAUUAUUUUCACGGAGGUCCUCCUACAUGCCAAGUUUAAAGCACUUUGUGUUCGGUCGUUUUGGAGUUGUUGGUGAGUUGAGGAAAAACUCUUCCUUUUCCAGUUUUAUAAAGGAUUUUUUUUUUUUUUCAUUUUCUCAAACUCCAAACUAAAGGCUUAAUCUCACGUUCUGGACCCUGUGGCCUGCCCAAGAUAUCUUUCAUUAAUGAACUGAGGACUCGGGGGUUUCUUGGGAGCUGCCUCCCUCCUGUGCCUUUGAAAGUGACCUUGGAAGGGGCGCAGCCUCUGCCCCAGGUGGCCUACCUGGGCCUCCCCCUGCUCUCGCCACUUCCAAGGCUGCCUGACUUCCCUUCUCAGAGCCCUGGGGCCUGAUUUCCUUUCCAUCCUGCUUUCUGGGAUCAUCCAAAAGGAAAUGGCCAGGCACUCAGGAAUGCCUUUUAAAAUGGGGUUCUGGAGCCAUUCUGCUUGGAACCUUUGCUGGGCGGUUUUGGCCAGGCCUUCGCCUCUCCGGGACAUGCAAAUGCACUGGCAGAGAUAUCGUGCAGCCUCCUCCACCUUCCUUCACCGCUCCUCACUCCCUCUCACCCCAGCUUCUGCACUUGAAAACCCCCGUGCCUAUACCCAGAUGAACUCGGAGCUCUUUGCACAGGGCCCACCGGCUCCGCAGCCUCUGAUGGACGUGAGGCAGAGUCCAGCCUGACACUGCCUGCUCUCUCUAUGGCCAUGUUCUGCUCAUGAUCAAUACAUCCUAAUUACAGAAAGCCUAAACUGUGGGCCUCAAACUUUGGGAGCCUUAGAAUCCAUUGGUGAGCUUGUUAAAAAUGCAGAUUUCAGAGUUCCCUGGUGAUUCAGCCGGUCGAGGAUACAGCAUUGUGAUUGCAGUGGCUCGCGUCGCUACUGUGGCGCAGAUUCCCUGGCCCAGGAACUUCCUUCUGCAUGCUACGGGUGCAGGACCAAAAAAAAAAAAAAAAUUUCCAGCCCCAUUGCUGGGAAUCUUAUUGAGAUUUCUGGCAGAGCCUUGGAAUCUGCAUUCUUGAAGCAACCUAGAGUAUUCCAGUGCUGGUCAUCUAGCAGCCACCCUUGGAGAAAUGUGGCUUAAUCCUUGGUCAGGCUGGCUUACUUGGGGCUUCUACUCUGCAACACACUGCCCAGGCCACAUGGGGCAGUGACAAGGAGGAAGUAAAGACCAGGAGUGUGAGGGUACAGACUGAGACACAAAUAUAAACCAGGUGGACGUGGGCUUGGGCCCAGGGAGCUGGGUGGAGGAAGGGUAGUUCCAAAUGUGACUGCACAGGGAUCAGCACUGCAGGGCUCCAUGUAGAAACACUGCUGGGACAGUGAUUAGAGUGACCUUGUGACCUUCUGCCGCCAGUGCAGGUGCUAGAAGGACCUUCUCCUGUGUGGGGGACAGGCUGUGAGGCUAGAUGGCAGACAUCACUCCUAUAUGCCAUAUCCUGAGGAGGGGAGCUCAGCUUCUCCUCAGAGGCAGCCCAGCAUGGAACUUAAAAGCACUGGCUUUGGUCUCACCCUGCCUGGGUCAUUGUCACUUGUCUAAUCUCCCUGGGCAAACUUGAGAAGGCUACACACCUGCUUUCUCUGUACCUGGGUUUCCUCCUCUGGAAAAGGAGGACAAUAAUACCCAAUUCCAAAGAUUAUCUAGAGGAUUAAAUGACAUUAUAUGCACAAGGUUCUGAGCAGUCCUGGAAGUAGUAAAGGUUCCAUGAACAUGGGCUACCACCUUUGUUCUCAUAGCUGCCCCCUGCCUCGCCGAACAGCUCUGAAGCUGCUUUUCAUAGAAUCAGACCACAUGAGUGAUUUGGAUAGUCCCUGAAUAUCUUUGUCCCCUUGUUCCCAGAAAGCCUCUGGUUUUCCCUUUUCCUCCCUCUGAAAGCCCUUGACACCCUACAAGGGCCAGUUUGGAAUAAGCAACACUUACGAAUACAUCCGCCUUCCUCUCUAAGUGACCCCAGCGCACAGGCCAUUUACAGCCUUCCCAGGGUUAUUGAAGGAAGCGCUCAACAGAUGGGGACCAGAACCCUGCAACCGAAAACACUGGUUUUGAAUUCCAAACCUCUGCCCUGAUGAGGGCUCUGUGAUCUACAAGGUGAGAUAGGGAAUUUAAGGUUGGAAUCGAAGGCUCCCAAGGAGAUGGAGAAAGGAACAUCACAUACGCAGAGGACCAGACAGCACCCAGUUAAUCCCCCUGCACCUUUGCGACGCUGGCUGGGGUAACUGCUGUGCUGGUCUCAGCUUCUGAAGAUGCUCUGACUCAGUUUCCCCCUAUAGGCUCAAGCCAUCACAGGGUGUUGUGGCUCAAGGUAAACGACUUUCCUGGGUAGUGCAGGUAUGGGAGCAUUGCUAGUAUUGGCUCUUUGUCCUAAUAAUCAGCUCUGAGAAUGCUAUAGCUUUAUAAAUAAAAGACCUUAAUUUGUCAGGAUAACCAGGUAACCACAAACCAGCCAUCCCCUACAGCCUCAUCAAUAGCCUGUAUCUAAAAGGUAUCCUGCUGGGGAAAGCAAUGCUGUUUUGCACUCAUCUGGUACAAGGCACAGAUGUCCCAAGGUGAGUAUCUCCUGGGCCAGAAAAGCAAAAAGGGAUGAAGCAACAUGGCGGCACCACCGAGACUCAAAACACUUGGAGCAUUUUCUAGGUGGAGACCAUUGCCUCCACAUCCAGACACUGGCUGGGAGUCACUGCUGAGAAAGACCCUCCUCCUGUGCUCCCUGGAAGGAUCUGGGUGGUGCAGGGUUGCUAACAGGGCCGUGAGGGGCCAACCCCCCUCACCCUGGUGGCUCUGUGGCUGGUGGGAAGGCAAGGCUGGGAGAAGAGCCACACUGUGCUUGGUUGACUCUGUUGAGUUCAGAGAGGGCUUCCCAUUUGAUUUGGCGAAGGAGAAAAGUUCUUUAUUUUCCCCAGCCGUGGGGCCCGUCAGCCCCACGGCUGAGUGCGCAGGCUCCCCUCCCUCCACCGAUCCCGAACACGACUCGCAAAGUUCAAUGAGAAGCCCCACCCACAACGGGCCUGUUUGAUCCCUGGAGCAUGCGCACUCUUCCCUCCAGUGCAGCCAGGCGGGCUCUCCCAGAGAUCCUUCGCGAGCUGGCUUCUUUUUCUUUCUUUUUUUUUUUUCUUUUUUUCCCCUAAGACCAGAGCCCAGUUAUUUACCCAAAGAAAACAGGGAAGUGACAAGGUAACAGAGUACACAUGUUGUGAAAAUAUGCAGGCUGAGGCUGAAGAAAAGAAAACAUUCUUCCAUAAGUAGCUGCCUUGUUAAUUCAUUUUUUUCUCCAGAUUAGAACCAGCCAUUUCUCGUGCUCCUCCAAGCACCUUCUGUGGUUUCCUGACAGCUGCCUGCAAGGGGUGAGACUUGGCUUGAAAAAUGGGCCAUCGGUCAUGCUUCAGGGGCAGGGCAGAAACCAAAAUUCCCAGAUUGCUCAAAUUCACUGCUCCCCUUUUCCAGGGGAAUGAAAGGGGGAGAGGUGCCGGGGAGAGGAUUGUAUAAACUCCCAGGCGUCACCUGAUUUUCCAUAAGAAACGACAGGUCGCUAAUGAAGAGUCCUUGGGACCGGCUUUCUUACCUCCUCUGAAGUUGGUUUCCUCUCCCUGGCAAGCCCGGGCUCCGCAGCCUUGAGGAACAGCCACCACGGGCUGAUUCUCAGCAAUUAAAAAUAAUAUUGGCCCUGAUAGAGGACUCUUGGGUCCCCCCCACCUGCAACACACACACACACACACCCUUUUCAUUCUGUGCCAAAGAUCACUUUCCCAAACCUGUUUGGAACAGCUGGCUGCAUCCAAGGAGCUGACUCCAACCCUGCAGCCCCCGAGUGGACCAGGGAAGGGCUGGGGUUAUUAACAGCAUUUGUUCCGCCUGGUGUUUGGGGCAGAAAAGAGUUCUGCACCUUUGGGGCAGUUUGGGCCGCACAUUUGGAGCCUGAUUUUUCUGCACUGGAUCCUUUAAACCUCAGGGCCGACAGAGAAUGGCUGAGAAAGUCUGCAGACGGGCUCACCAUGGUCAGCAUCCCUCUGGUGCAAAUCUUUGUGCUGCUGUUGUUUUUCCUUCUCAGGGUUCCUGGUCCCCUUUUCAGCCUGUGGGUGUUGGCCCAGGGCUUGGCCUGGCUUUCAGGAGAGGUCACACUGCAGAGGCCUGGACGACCCCCGUUAGCAUUGCUGUGGCACUUGCUGUAAAUGGGAGGUCCCUGGAGCUGGGCGAUCCAUCCCAGCGCCAGGCAGGCCUCUGUAAAAGACGUGCUCCCCUUUCCCAAAGAAGAGGCCACUGCAGGCCUGAGGCGGGGGGACCUCCUCACCUCUUACUUAUGGCCUCAGAGCUUGUCAGCUCCCCACCACCAGCACCCAGCAGCCUCACCCUCAGGAUGGCCAUGAGGAUGUGGGUUCGAUCCCUGGCCUCCCUCAGUGGGUCAAGGAUCCAGGGUUGCUGUGAGCUGUGGUGUAGGUCGCAGACCUGGCUUGGAUCCCGCAUGGCUGUGGCUGUGGUGCAGGCCGGCAGCUGCAACUCCUAUUCAACCCCUAGCCUGGCAACCCUAAGAAA